rfam:Tribolium castaneum strain Georgia GA2 linkage group LG10, whole genome shotgun sequence.
CGACAAUUGUUCCUUUUGUUGAGCGUUCAAAUGCUUUUCGAAAUUUUAAGGUUGUCGUAAAGAAAAUGAGUUACUUCACGCCGAACGUUGUCAAGUUUAUAGACGUUUGGGUUUUGCUAACUCUUACAUUU